GACGAACGCUGGCGGCGUGCUUAACACAUGCAAGUCGAACGGAAAGGCCCUGCUGUUGUGUGGUCCUCUAGUGGCGAACGGAGGAGUAACACGUUAGUAACCUGCCCUUGACUUUGGGAUAACUUCAGGAAACUGGUGCUAAUACCUGAUAGGAGCUCCUGCUGCAUGGUGGGGGUUGGAAAUUUUCGGCGGUUGGGGAUGGACUCGCGGCUUAUCAGCUUGUUGGUGGGGUAGUGGCUUACCAAGGCUUUGACGGGUAGCCGGCCUGAGAGGGUGACCGGCCACAUUGGGACUGAGAUACGGCCCAGACUCCUACGGGAGGCAGCAGUGGGGAAUAUUGCACAAUGGGCGGAAGCCUGAUGCAGCAACGCCGCGUGCGGGAUGACGGCCUUCGGGUUGUAAACCGCUUUCGCCUGUGACGAAGCGUGAGUGACGGUAAUGGGUAAAGAAGCACCGGCUAACUACGUG
rnacentral:rRNA from 1 species